rnacentral:rRNA from 1 species
GGCUAACGCUGGCGGCGUGUCUUAGCCAUGCAAGUCGAGCGGACUUAUGGGGUAACUUAUAAGUCAGCGGCGGACGGCGGAGUAACACGUAGCUAACCUACCCUCUGGACGGGGAUAACCUACCGAAAGGUGGGCUAAUACCCGAUGUAGUCAUCCUGUAUAGGGGUGAUGAAAGGUGGGCUUCUGUUUACAAGCUCAUGCUGGAGGAGGGGGCUGCGGCCUAUCAGGUAGUUGGUAGGGUAAUAGCCUACCAAGCCGAUGACGGGUAGCCGGCCUGAGAGGGUGACCGGCCCGAGGGGCACUGAGAUACGGGUCCCACUCCUACGGGAGGCAGCAGGCUAGAAAUUUGGGCAAUGGGGGAAACCCUGACCCAGUGACGCCGCGUGCAGGAAGGAGCCCUUCGGGGUGUAAACUGCUGUCGUGUAGGGAGAAGGGUACUAAGGUGAACAAUCUUAGUACUUGACGGUACUACAGGAGGAAGGACCCACGGCGUAACCUACGUGCCAGCAGCCGCGGUAAGUGCUACGUAGA